GACGAACGCUGGCGGCGUGCUUAACACAUGCAAGUCGAGCGGUAGGGCCCUUCGGGGUACACGAGCGGCGAACGGGUGAGUAACACGUGGGUGAUCUGCCCUGCACUUCGGGAUAAGCCCGGGAAACUGGGUCUAAUACCGGAUAGGACCUCUGGGUGCAUGCCCGGGGGUGGAAAGGUUUACCGGUGCAGGAUGGGCCCGCGGCCUAUCAGCUUGUUGGUGGGGUAAUGGCCUACCAAGGCGACGACGGGUAGCCGGCCUGAGAGGGCGACCGGCCACACUGGGACUGAGACACGGCCCAGACUCCUACGGGAGGCAG
rnacentral:rRNA from 1 species